AGAUGAGUGAACAUGGUUGUAGUA
rnacentral:siRNA from 1 species